GACGUAGGGUGCGAGCGUUGUCCGGAUUUAUUGGGCGUAAAGAGCUCGUAGGCGGCUCGUCGCGUCGACCGUGAAAACCCGCGGCUUAACUGCGGGCUUGCGGUUGAUACGGGCGGGCUAGAGUUCGGUAGGGGAGACUGGAAUUCCUGGUGUAGCGGUGAAAUGCGCAGAUAUCAGGAGGAACACCGGUGGCGAAGGCGGGUCUCUGGGCCGAUACUGACACUGAGGCGCGAAAGCGUGGGGAGCGAACAGG
rnacentral:rRNA from 1 species